UGAAUAAUAAUGAUGCUGAUUUAAAUAUACAAAAGAAAAUGGGUGUGCAUUCACUCCUCAGUCAUGCUAAAUUUCAAAUCAAAUUUAGACACACCAAUUUAUUAGCAAAGGAUGAGAGGAGCUCACUAACCUAAUCUAACCUCAACAGUGAUGGAAGUCCCACUGAUUCGCAUCGUUUUGUUUUCAGGCUUUCUCUCAGUCAUUCUGUGCAACUCACAUGAUUAUGUUCUGGCCGAGAGCGUAAAAUUUGGGAAGAGGCUUGAGAUUUCUGUCGAAAGCACUACAUUGACUUGGCCACUGGCCAGACUGAUGAAGAGUGGAGUGAAUAACAAUAACAAGUUAAGAGCUAAAUAUCGACCUAAGACUUGGAUCGGACUCAAUGACGAUGUGAACAGCUGGCACUGGUCUUUUCAAAAUAAAUGCCCCCAUACGCAAGAUGGGAUAAGAAUCAGCCAGAUGAUUAUGGAGGAGACCAAGAUUGUGCAAUGCUUCAUUCAAAUGGAUACUGGCAUGAUGAAAACUACGAUCUUAAAUGUGUCAUUAUUUGUCAAAGUGAUCAAGGGCCAGUACUAGUUACUGAUCCAAUGAUGUCCUGGAAACAAGCUCAGAGUUUCUGUAGUGAAAACUUCACAGACUUAUACACAGUCAAGAACGAGAGUGAGAAUCAACUGCUAAAGAUGAUGAUCCAAAAUGACAGUUGUGCCUGGAUUGGUCUGUUCAGAGACUCGUGGAAGUGGUCCGAUCAGACCAACACAAGUUCAUCCCUGCGAUGGGCUGAAAAACAACCAGAUAAUUUGUCUGUCAGUGAAAUCUGAUCAGAUAACUGAUGAGCUCUGCUCAGAGAAGUUUUUCUUUGUUUGCAAAAGAUAUGUAAGUAUUUUUAUUUUAGAGCAUGUUGUAGUUAUUUCUGGGUUCUAAUUUUAAACCAGCCAAAACUUCAUCAGCCUGAAAAAAAGAUGGACCUCUACAGAAUGUAGUUAGUCUAUAGGUCUGUUUGUUAUUGGAAUCUGUAGAAAGUUUCCACCUACUUUUAAAAAAAAACUUAAGUUGCUGCCUUUAAUUUUUAAGUAUAAUCUGACUGGAAGUACAAUCGUUUCAACUUAAAUUAUAUUAAACUGAUUUUAAAAAUUGAGUUGGAUCUCAUACAGUAUAGCUUCAAAAAUAAAGUUGAAAUUUGAUAUUUUUUUUUCA
ensembl:lncRNA